AGCCAAGGAUGACCCCGAACUCCUGAUCUCCCCACCCCCACCUCCUGCCUGCUGGAAUUACAGAUCUGUACCAUCACGCUUAACUUAGAGCCAAGCUAGUCUACCCCCACAGCACACACACACACACACACACACACACACACACUUUCUACUCUAGACCUCGAGGUACUAGCUCUGAGCUCCUCCAUUGUUUGAAAAUAGAUGAUUUUCAAGGACAGUGCUUGAGAGUUGCUAUAGGGUCUCUGUGUCUGUCACAUGACACUUCAAUGCCAAUGAUACACAAACAAAGCCAAACAAAAACCCCAGCAAAUCCCGCAUCUCCCCCAGCUGGAAGCACUGAGUAUGGAGCCAGAUGAUGUCACAGAUGGCUGACCCCUGGCUCAGCAUCACAGCAGAUCCAUCCUCAGCCUCUGAACACAGACUGCCUUCUUACCCCAUCACCAUCUCACAUUGUUUGAACUGGGCCAGAAAGCUUCAGCCCCUGAUACAGCUGCUGAUUACAUGUCCACCAUAUAUAUGUGACAGAACCCGAACCCUGUGACCUUGAAUAAGUCACUCAACCUCUCCGAAUCUCUGGUGGAUGUUGUAAUAGGCCUGCCUCAAAGGAUUAUUGUAAGUGCUCAAUGAUGUCAUACACGUCGGAGUGUCACACAGACCUGACAGCAAACACUAGGUUGAUCCUGGGGGUGGGGGGUGGGAGGAGGUGUUGCUGAUGCUACCGAGUCCAGUGCAUAUUCCCAGGAUCCAUAGCUCACCAGGUUCCACCUCAUCCCUCCACUGCUGUGAUUAUGCAGCAAGCACACACUCAGCACCUACCCCUCAGGCUCUACGCUGGACACAAGUGUGGUGCUGUUGGAAAGUCAAGAGAAACCUGCUCAGAGGCAGCAUGAGUCCUAUCCCUUCAGGAGGCCCCGGGUGAUGGUCACAGCCCAGCUUCAGAGCCCACAGCGCAGACUUGAAUUGCAAUGCUCUCAUUUAUCCUCCACAGGACGCUUGUCUCCUCUGCCUUGAUUCCUGUGUCUGAACAAUGGAGGCAGCAAUGACACACAGGCAUUGGGCCCUGCAGUAUUUCAUUUACUCCUAGCUGUAGCUCAGCAGGGUGCAAUGAUUGUUGUCAGUUCUACAGAAGGGAAACUGAGGCUAGAUAGUCAGCGGCCCAGCAGGGCUUUAAUCAGGCAAUAGAAAGUGAUGUCGCAACAGAAUCCAUACACAGCUGUUAAGUCUGACGGGGAACAGGGCCUAGGAGGUGAAGCUUAGGGUUGGAACUGGCACUGGGAAACUCAAGUUGCCAUGUAGUCUUACUGGGGUUCUAUAACCUAUGACCUCAUUUAUCAUUGGCCCUUCCUUACUCUGUGGAUAUAAAGAUUCCACUGGGGACCCAGAGUGUUCGUUCAUUCACCAGUCAAGAUUAAUGUCAAAGAAGGGCUUGGUGAGACAGCACGUUGUUGUUCAGGAGGGGAGCUAGCUCUGGACCAAGGAGUACCUGAGUGACAAGAUGUAAACAACCCUGCCUAGCCAAACACUUGACCAGGGACAUAG
rnacentral:lncRNA from 1 species